CCUACGGGUGGCAGCAGUGGGGAAUAUUGCACAAUGGGGGAAACCCUGAUGCAGCAACGCCGCGUGGGUGAAGGAGCGUUUCGGCGCGUAAAGCUCUGUCAGCGGGGAAGAAGAAAGACGGUACCCGACCAAGAAGCCCCGGCCAACUACGUGCCAGCAGCCGCGGUAAUACGUAGGGGGCGAGCGUUAUCCGGAAUUACGGGGUGGAAAGGGAGGGUAGGCGGAGAGGUAAGCCUGAAGUGGAAGCCCGCGGCCCAACCGCGGAACUGCGUUGGGAACUGUUUUGCUGGAGUAUGGGAGGGGUGAGCGGAAUUCCAGGUGUAGCGGUGAAAUGCGUAGAUAUCAGGAGGAACACCAGUGGCGAAGGCGGCUUACUGGACCAUAACUGACGUUGAGGCUCGAAAGCGUGGGGAGCAAACAGGAUUAGAUACCCUUGUAGUC
rnacentral:rRNA from 1 species